AUGGCGAACCCUAAUCUGACAGCCGGCUGCGUGUUCCAACCCACCGGCCGUGAGCUCAUCGACCACUACCUCGUCCCCAGGGCGGGGCUCGGCGGUGACUUCUUCCCCGGCUUCAUCGAGGAGGGUGUGGAUGUCUUGUCCUUGCCCCCGCGUGAGCUCCUCUUCCGGCAAAACCACAUAAGGGAUUACGGCGAGGUAUGGGGCUUCUUCUUCGCGGCAAAGCCCGCCGGCGAGAGGUGCCCGACGCCGGGCGCGGGCGGGUGCUGGGUGUAG
rnacentral:rRNA from 1 species